rfam:Ailuropoda melanoleuca scaffold302_145, whole genome shotgun sequence.
CCCAGAGUAGGCUGACUUGGUUGCUGUGGUACAGAGAAGCCAGCUUGUUUACACGCUCAUUCUAUG